rnacentral:tRNA from 1 species
CCUUAUAGUCCUUUAACAUA